rnacentral:rRNA from 1 species
GAUGAACGCUGGCGGCGUGCUUAAUACAUGCAAGUCGAACGAGGUGCUUUUGUAGCAAUACGAAAGUAUCCUAGUGGCGAACGGGUGAGUAACGCGUUGGUGACCUGCCCCAAAGUGUGGGAUAACAGUCCGAAAGGAUUGCUAAUACCGCAUGUGGCCAUCGGGUUUAGAAACCGAUGUCUAAAGCAGCAAUGCGCUUUGGGAGGGACCUGCGUCCCAUCAGCUAGUUGGUGAGGUAACGGCCCACCAAGGCGACGACGGGUAGGGGGCCUGAGAGGGUGGCCCCCCACAAUGGAACUGAAACACGGUCCAUACACCUACGGGUGGCAGCAGUAGGGAAUAUUGCACAAUGGGCGAAAGCCUGAUGCAGCAACGCCGCGUGAGCGAUGAAGGCCUUCGGGUCGUAAAGCUCUUUUCUGGGAGAUGAGAAAGGACAGUAUCCCAGGAAUAAGUCUCGGCUAACUACGUGCCAGCAGCCGCAGUAACAC